rnacentral:rRNA from 1 species
GACGACGGGGGCUAGCGUUGUUCGGAAUUACUGGGCGUAAAGCGCGUGUAGGCGGUUGCCCAAGUCGGGUGUGAAAGCCUUGAGCUCAACUCAAGAAAUGCACUCGGUACUGGGUGACUAGAGGACCGGAGAGGAUAGUGGAAUUCCCAGUGUAGUGGUGAAAUACGUAGAGAUUGGGAAGAACACCAGUGGCGAAGGCGGCUAUCUGGACGGUUUCUGACGCUAAGACGCGAAAGCGUGGGGAGCAAACAGG